CCAACGGCCCUCUUUAGGGCCACCCAGUAUAUUUUCAUGGUUUUUAU
rfam:Parastrongyloides trichosuri strain KNP genome assembly, scaffold: PTRK_scaffold0000003